UACGUAGGGUGCGAGCGUUGAUCGGAAUUACUGGGCGUAAAGCGUGCGCAGGCGGUCUGCUAAGACAGGUGUGAAAUCCCUGGGCUCAACCUAGGAAUUGCGCUUGUGACUGGCGGGCUAGAGGAAGGUAGAGGGGGGUGGAAUUCCUGGUGUAGCAGUGAAAUGCGUAGAGAUCAGGAGGAACACCGAUGGCGAAGGCAGCCCCCUGGGCCUGUACUGACGCUCAGGCACGAAAGCGUGGGGAGCAAACAGG
rnacentral:rRNA from 1 species